GGUGGGAAAAUACUUGCAUCUUCGGGGAUGAAGCAUCAGUGGACACACAUUGCAUUAACAUGUGGGCAUGUUUCAUAGCUUACAUUUUUGUUAUAUGGAACGGUACCACGGAGGCAUUUACAACAUGGGCAAGUAACCUCAAUGUCAAUAAGAUAGGGCUCAGAUUUACAUCUGAAUGCCAUGACACCAGAUAACCAUUUCUUGACAUAUGUGUGAUAUUUAGGAAGCCGACAUCUACUAAUUCCCUUACGUGGGUAAAGCAGCCACCUUAUCUCCUUAAAAAGGGUAUUCCUCGUGGUCAGUACCUGCGGGUUAGAAGAAAUUGUUCACAACAGAGUGACUUCUUAAAGCAAGCAGACGAUUAAAAAAAAAAAAGCUUUUUGGCUCGAAGCUAUCCUGUAGGUGUUCUAAAAACCGUAUUCUAGUCUGCGCUUCAGAGAGAACACACAUCCCUGUUGACACCCAAAAGCAAUAAUAAUAA